UACUCUGCACCAAGUUGGAUCUACGGAAUGACGACCGCGUGAUUUGGAUCCAUGGGGUGGAUAAAUGGAAAAGAAGUUUCAGCACUCCCAUAGGACGCUUUGAAGAGCCUUCAGAGCAGUACCAACACUAUGCCAACUGUCGUCACACCAAGCUCCCAACUACACAGCGGGUGACAAGAUAUGACUUUCUAAUAAAGAUUUACCAUUAAAAGCCGA